rnacentral:rRNA from 1 species
CCUACGGGGGGCAGCAGUGGGGAAUAUUGCACAAUGGGGGAAACCCUGAUGCAGCGACGCCGCGUGAAGGUAGAAGUAUUUCGGUAUGUAAUCUUCUAUCAGCAGGGAAGAAAAUGACGGUACCUGACUAAGAAGCCCCGGCUAACUACGUGCCCGCAGCCGCGGUAAUACGUAGGGGGCAAGCGUUAUCCGGAUUUGCUGGGUUUAUGGGGAGCGUAGGCGGGUUGGCAAGUCGGAAGUGAACGCCCCGGUCCGAACUGUGGGAGUGCCUUUGAAACUGUUUAAAUGGAUUGCAGGAGAGGUAAGAGGAAUUCCUAGUGUAGCGGUGAAAUGCGUAGAUAUUAGAAGGAACACCAGUUGCGAAGGCGGCUUACUGGACUGUAAAUGACGCUGAGGCUCGAAAGCGUGGGGAGCAAACAGGAUUAGAUACCCCUGUAGUC